UUCACUCCUCCAUUUGUGACAUAGAUAAAUAUGUAAGACAUAGAUAGUUAUCCAUCUCAGAAAUGCUUAACAUUGAUUAUAGAAUUGAAAAGAUUUAUUAUUACAAUUAUAGCAAAUAUCCUUUUAUAGGAUUUAGAAUUUAUCCAACUAACUAUUACAUGUUUACCAUACUACCCUUGAUGAUUUAACCUCUAAUACCCCCUCUUAAAUCAGUAAUUGUUGGAGUAGUAAUAACUAACUAUUCAAGUGUAAGUAGAACUGCAGAACAUGGAUUGAAAACCCAGCGCGCUUUUUAAUUCUUUUGCAUCUUUUCUUUUAAUUCUGGGAAAAUAUUUGUCCUACUUAUCUGUCCACUUGUUAUUCUCAUCAUUAUUCACAGUCAUUCCUUUUCUUAAAAGGAAGAGAGAGUUAAACCAAACCACAAAGAGAGUUUCAGAUCCUGACUUGUGAUUUAUCCAGUCUAAUCAUCUGAAAGAAAAAAAAUACACACAAAAUAUUCCAAGUUAGGUUAUAGAUCGAUCAAACAUGAAAUUUUAAUUUUAAUAACCUGCAAAGAUUAAUAUAAAUAUUUUGUGAUACUGCAUUAGUAAAAAUAUCUGCCAAUUGAUUUUCGGAACAUACAUGUCUAACUUUUAAAUGAUUUUUAGAUAUUAAUUCUCUAAUGAAAUGAAUGUCUGUUUCUAUAUGUUUUGAUUUUUGUUUAAUCAUUGGAUUUUUAACCAUAAAAAUUGCCGAUUUGUUAUCAUAAAAUAAUUAUGGUACACAAUGUAUUGGAAAACAUAGGUCUCUGCAUAUAAAUGUUGUCCAUCUAAUUUCUGCAGCUAGGGUUGCUAAUGCUCUAUAUUAUGCUUCUGCACUGGAUCUAGAUACUGUACCUUAUUUUUUAGAUAUCCAUGUUUCCAGAUUUCCUUCAAUAAAAACAUAUAAAACUGUUGUCGAUUUUCUAGAGUCUGGGUCUCCUGCAAAAUCAGCAUCAUAGUACCCAAAAAUUUUAUUCUUUUCAGACGUUUUGGUGAAAUGUAGUUCAUUACCAAGUAUUCCUUUGAUAUAUCUUAGAAUUCUCUUAGCUGCCGCUAAAUGUCCUGUUCUAGGCUCAUGAACAAACUGAGCAACUUGAUUUAUUGCAUAAACCAGAUCUGGUCUUGUUUGACUUAGAUAUUGCAAAGAUCCAACCAAAGCUCUAUAGUUUGUAACAUCUUUGACUAAUUCACCAUCAUUCAUUUUUAGUUUUGAAUUUGGUAUUACUCGUGAACUACAAGAUUUACAGUUCAUCAUAUUAUAUUUUGAUAGUAUGUUGAUGGCAUACCUAGAUUGAUUCAUAUAUAUGCUAUCCGCUAUCAAAACAACUGAAUUAUUGAUGGCGGAAAUCCGUUAUCUAAAGGCCGCCAUACAAGGUCCUUUUUUUUGUAGUGUGAAUACCCACUUGGUUCCUAUUAAAUUUACUUUCUUAUCUGGUGGAACUAGAUUCCAAGUAUUAUUUUCUAUUAACGCCAUGUAUUCUUCAUCCAUAGCUUGUUUCCAGUGAGGUAUUUUUAUGGCAUCUUUGAAAUUUUUAGGAGUCAAGGUGUUGUUUUCAAUUACCUCAGCAAUCAAUGCCUUGGGUAAGUUUACUUCAUAAAUGUUGUAUUUUUUUGGGAAUGUUAUAGACCUUUGAGUUCUCCUUAACUCUUCUGUGUGAUUUUGAAAUUCUCUUACAGUUGUGACGGGAACCGACUGACUUGUUUCAACCGAGUCUGUGUUUUCAAGUGUUACUUCUACUGUGUUUUCAGAAGAUACAUCUUCUGUGUUAUUUUGUUCAGAUGUUGUAGAAGUACUGUUUGGUAAACUACUUGAAAUCGUUUGUUGUUCGAAAAUAUUGUUUCCAGAAUUGGCACUUUCUUCCGUCUGUGUGGUCUCAUCAACUGUGUUGUUACUAUCAUGAUUUAUCUGUUGAAUGAUAGGAGCUUGAGUAUUUGGUUCUAUAACUAUAUCUUUAUUACCUGAUAUAGGUAAAUGUAAAAAUUCUUCCGUCGUGAUUUCUUUCUUUGAAGUGUUUAUUUUGUAAUCUUUGAAUGGAUAAACAUCUUCAUAGAAUUGAACAUGUCUAAAUAUGAUGAUUGUUGAGUCCUUAAGUUUUUAAACAUUUAUAUGCUUUAUGCACUGGUGAGUAUCCAAGAAAACAACAAUAAUUUGAUGUUAGUUUAAAUUUGUUUCUAAAAUUCUUAGGUAUCAACGGAAAACAUAAUGAUCCAAACACUCUUAAGUAAUUUAAAUCUGAGUUUUUCUUAUAUAGAGCAGAAAAAGGUGAUUUAAAACCUAAUGGUUUUGAAGGAAGUCUAUUUAUUGAAUAGAUAGCAGCUGAACAUGCCUCUGCCCAAUAUUGUUUAGGUACUUCAGAUUGUGAAUAAAAAACAUGACUGUACCAAUUAUCUGGCCAUGUCUUCUUUCUACAAGACCAUUCUGUUCAAGAGUAUAAGGUGAAAAAAAUAUAUGAAAAAUUCCUAAUUCAUUACAAAAAAAAUUUUAAUUUCUGAUUGCAAAAUUCCCCACCUCCAUCUGUUUGUAUUAUUUUAAUAGUGUGUUCUAAUGAUUUUUCUAUCAUUAUUUGAAAUCUUUUGAAAGUUUCAAAUACUUGAUCUUUUGUUUUCAAAGGGAAGAACCAACAAAAUCUAGAGAAUUCAUCAAUAAUUAAGAGAUAGUAUUUAUCUCCAUUAAUUGAUUCAGUUGGAGCUAGGCCCCAUACAUCGAUAUGAAAUAUUUCUAACGGUAUAUUACUAUAUUCUUCCCUAUAAUUAAAUGGUUUCUUUUUCAUUUUAUUUAGAGGACAAUGUAUACAAUUUUGUUUUAAAUUUUUAUGAUUAAUUUCAUGAUGUUUUAACAGUACUUGAUCUGAAGGGUGUUCACACCUUCUAUGCCAUAAUUCUGUUGAAUUUAUUGUUAACUUAGAAGUUGCAACCAACUUCUUAAUUUUAUAUAUGUUUGAUGAGUUUAGAUAGUAUAAGCCUCCAUGGCUUUUACCCUUGAUUAAAUCCUUACCACUUUCAUUGUCUUGGAUAAUGAAUCCAGAUUCAUUUAAAAUGAAACUACAUUUUAAAUCCUUGGUCAUUGAUCUUAUGGAUAACAAGUUCAUUUUCAUGUCGGGAACACAAAGAGUAUUCCUUAAUGGAAUCUCUCCAUUGUUUGACUUUAAUCUAGCAGUUCCUAUAUGUGAAAUUUUUAAACCUAAACCAUUACCAAUCGUAAUAUUAUCCAUACCAGAAUAUUUUUGAACGUCAGAAAGAGCUUCUAAGUCAGGAGGCAUGUGAUUAGUCACUCUUGAAUCAAGUAGCCAGUUUCCUUCUGGAGCAUCUUCAUUUGUUUCCAUGGCCGCAACAAAAGCUUUCAAUCCUUUCUUGCACGACCUAGCAUUGUGACCUGCCUUUUCACAGAGUUGACAGACUAUUGAACUGUUGUUACCUAAGCUGCUAUUGGUCGACCGACGCCACCUGUUGUUGUUUGAUCUAUCUCUAUUAUUAUUGUUGUAAUUUUGUCUAUUGUUGUUGUUGUAGUAGUAGUCUCUGUUUAUGUUAUGAAGAUUUUGUCCUCUCUUAUAAUUUGUAGCAAAUGCAGCGGGUACAUCAGAGUUUGCCGGAUUUGUCAAAUUCAUUCUAUGAAUGUAUUUAUCUUCCUGAAUGACUAGUUGUACAAACUCGUCAAAAAGUAAAUUUCGUUGGAAACGUAACCCCGAAAUAAAAGGACGGAAAUCCGCACCCAGUCCAUCUGUGACAAAAUCUAUUUUUGUCUUGUCAGUGACAACUUCACCGGCUGCUGCCAAAGAAUCAGUUAAAGAUGUUACUUUGAUUCUAAAAUCCCUAAUUGAUUCAUUUUCCCUUUUCUUUAAAAAUCUUAGUUCAUCCCGAAUUGCUUGUUGAUGUACUGCCUUCCUUGGUGAUAAAUGUAAUUCUAGUUUCUUCCAACACUCAUACGCCGUACUGUGGUUCAUUACCAAUGAAAACAUCGGUGGUCCAACUAAAGAUUGAAUCCAUCCCAAUACUGCCCAGUUCUUUUCUAACCAUAUCUUAUAAGCUGGAUUAGGUGAGCCGUCACCUCUCUUUUCAAGGGGAAUUUCUUAUUUGUCAUCUACAAUAUCAGAGACAUGGUUCAACCAGAAUAAGUUCUCCAUUUGACCUCUCCAAAACAGAUAUGUUGAAGCUCCUUCUAACGGAGUUCUAAUCCAGUGGGAAACUUGGCAUUUAUAUAGAGAAUCAGGGAGAGUAGCCUUAUCAUGGUUUGCCAUCAGGGAAAAAAAUUUCACUGCAGUGAAAAUAAAAGACAAAUUUCACUACUGCAGCUUUCUAAAUGAAUCGCAAAAUCAAAUGCGAUAAAGACUUUUUUAUUUAUUUUUAUUUACUGAAUAUCACUAUUGAUAUAUCAGUAAUCUUACUAAAAAAAAAUUACACAAACAAACAAUCUAAGAAGAAACAAUCGCAACUAAACAAACUAGGCAACAAAACAAAACAAAUUCAAUCUGAAAUUAAAACAAUCGCAACUAAUCAUCUAAUAAGCAACCAAGAGAAAUAAGAGAGAGAGAGAAAAAAAUAAGAAAAAUUGACCUGCAACAACACUCACAACCUGUUAUCAAAAUUCAAGCAGAGAAGAUGAUAAAAAAAAUACAAAAAAAAAAAAUCUAACCUGUAAUCGCUAAUCUGCAGAAUCUGUGAUUUUCAAAAAACUACCAAAAGAAAAGAAAAAAAACAACUACAAAUUGCAGCCACACAAUUCAAUUCAAUUCAACAGAAGAAUCAAUCAAAUUGUGCACAGAAAUAACUCUCGUUUAAAUUCAGUAAAGGGAAAAAACAAAAUAAUCAGAACAGAAUCGCAAAAGAACAAAAAAAUCAACGGAAUGAGAAAUCAGAAAUCGCAAAAGAAAAUCAACGAAACUCUCUAAAAAUCGUAAGAAUCAGAAAUCGAAACCAGAACAGAAGAUGAAAUCAACUGGAAUCCGACUUCCGUAUGAUCUAAAUCGCGAUCAGAAAUCAAUAGAUCAACGAAAAUCGCACACGAUCGAUAGUGGAAAACAACGAUAAGCAAAUAUCAAUAGUGGAAACAAACAAAUACACACGAUCACACACGAUCGAUAGUGGAAACAAACAAACAAACAAGCAAAAAAAUCGAUAUGGAAAUCAUUCGAUCAACACAAAUCGCGCACGAUCGGGGAGAAAAAAAACAUUGAUCAGAAAUAAUCGAUCGGGAAAAACAAAAUAAAUCCAAAACGAAAUAACUAAAUCGAUAGUGGAAAAAACAACGAUCGAACAAAAAACGCUAAAUUGAGAUAACGAUCAGAAAUAACGCUAAAACGCGCGAUUAGAAGAAACAAGAAAAAAAAAAAUUAAAACUCGAUCAGAUCGGAAAUCAAAUCUCGAUCAGAUCGGAAAUCAAAACUCAGAUUAAAAUCGCAAUCAAGAUCUAAGAUGAACAGAAUCAAGAUCUAAAAUUACCUAAAUCAAGAUCUGAGAAAUUAAAAUUACCUAAAAUCAAACCUGAGAAGAAUCGACGCGGAAGACAAGCGCAGAUCCGACACGAACGCGGGAAACAAAGGCGCUUGCGGGAAGAAUCGCAGUAACUCAGAUGAAUCUGCAACUUCCAGUAGAUGAAAUCGCGGAAGAAGACGAUCUCACAGAGGAAUUCAAUCAAUGAAGCUAGAAAACUGAUACCAUCUCAGAAAUGCUUAACAUUGAUUAUAGAAUUGAAAAGAUUGAUUAUUACAAUUAUAGCAAAUAUCCUUUUAUAAAAUUUAGAGUUUAUCCAACUAACUAUUACAUGUUUACCAUAUUACCCUUGAUGAUUUAACCUCUAAUAGUGCAUGCAUGGUACAGUUCAUAGAAUAUAAUUAGAUUGUAAAUAUAUCUGUUUCAUCAUUUUCA
rnacentral:lncRNA from 1 species